AAAAAAUGCUCACGCACUCUCCUCUCAUCAACCUUCUCUACUAAACUCAAACUAGCUGAUCUCUCUUUGUAUCUGUAACCAUGGUCCGUGAAAGAAAACUUGUGGAGGAGGUCUCUGGGUGGCUUAGACUCUACGAUGAUGGCUCAGUGGACAGGACAUGGACUGGACCUCCUCAGGUCAAGUUCAUGGCCGAUCCUGUCCCUGCCCACCAGGAUUUUAUUGACGGAGUUGCCACCCGUGAUGUCACCAUCGAUGAAAAUUCUGGUCUUCGUGUUAGAAUUUAUCUGCCCGAGCCAAACUCAGAAGACCUUAAUAAGUUGCCUGUAAUCCUCCAUUUUCAUGGGGGUGGUUUUUGCAUUAGCCAAGCUGAUUGGUAUAUGUAUUAUAAUAUAUAUACUAGGCUUGCUAAGUCAGUUCGAGCCAUCUGCGUCUCCGUCUACCUCCGGCUUGCCCCUGAGCACCGUCUCCCAGCUGCCUGUGAUGAUGGGUUCUCUGCUCUUCUUUGGCUGCGUUCUUUGGCUCAAGGACGGUCAUCUGAGCCAUGGCUGAAUGAUUAUGCAGAUUUCAACCGUGUUUUUCUCAUUGGAGAUAGCUCCGGAGGGAAUCUAGUGCAUGAAGUGGCAGCACGCGCUGGGAACGUUGAUCUAAGCCCUCUGAGACUCGCCGGCGGCAUCCCAGUCCACCCUGGGUUUGUGAGGUCUGAAAGGAGCAAAUCAGAGAUGGAGCAACCAGAGUCACCUUUCUUAACCCUAGACAUGGUGGACAAGUUCUUGGGGUUGGCAUUGCCAGUGGGAUGCACCAAGGAUCACCCAAUUACGUGCCCAAUGGGAACAGCUGCGCCCCAACUGGACAGCCUAAAUCUGCCACCUCUGCUGCUAUGUGUGGCGGAGAUGGACUUGAUAAAGGACACUGAGAUGGAGUACUAUGAGGCCACGAAAAAGGCAAACAAGGAUGUGGAGUUACUGAUUAGCCCUGGAAUGGGUCACAGUUUUUACCUGAACAAGAUUGCCUUGGAUAUGGAUCCUCUUACUGCAGAGCAGACUACUGCCCUUAUUGAAGGGAUCCAAGAGUUCAUCAAUAAGCACUAGUUAAUUAUAUUAAUUUUUCAAUUUACCACAGUGAAAACUCGGAUAAGAGCUUAUUAGUAUGUGAUGUGCCUUUGGCCAAGUCGGCUUAGGCAUACAUUAUAAUAUCAAAUAAUGAAUACGCUUCUUUUGUAACAGUAUGUGAUGUGAUUAAUAUGUAAUUGAUUAUUAAAGUAUUUUAACUAUUUUCAAUUGAAU
rnacentral:misc_RNA from 1 species